UAUAAAAGUUAUAUCCUACAAAUAUCGCACAGAGUUCCCACAAGAGGGCGGUAUUGUCCAGGCAGGUGAAGAGAACAGACAGACGUUAUGCAGGGUAGCUCAGUAUGAAUUGGGGUCCUUUAGCACUGUUCCGGCUGCAGACAGUUUU